rnacentral:rRNA from 1 species
UUUUAUUUGAGAGUUUGAUCCUGGCUCAGGAUGAACGCUGGCGGCGUGCCUAACACAUGCAAGUUGAGCGAUUUACUUCGGUAAAGAGCGGCGGACGGGUGAGUAACGCGUGGGUAACCUACCCUGUACACACGGAUAACAUACCGAAAGGUAUGCUAAUACGGGAUAAUAUAUUUGAGAGGCAUCUCUUGAAUAUCAAAGGUGAGCCAGUACAGGAUGGACCCGCGUCUGAUUAGCUAGUUGGUAAGGUAACGGCUUACCAAGGCGACGAUCAGUAGCCGACCUGAGAGGGUGAUCGGCCACAUUGGAACUGAGACACGGUCCAAACUCCUACG